GACAGAGGUGCCGAGCGUUAGGCGGAAUCACUGGGCUUAAAGCGUGUGUAGGCGGGUCGUUAAGUGUCUUGUGAAAUCCCACCGCUCAACGGUGGAACCGCUGGGCAUACUGGCGAUCUUGAGCAGUCUAGGGGCGAGCGGAACAAGCGGUGGAGCGGUGAAAUGCGUAGAUAUCGCUUGGAACGCCGACGGUGAAAACAGCUCGCUGGGGACUCGCUGACGCUGAGACACGAAAGCCAGGGGAGCAAACGGG
rnacentral:rRNA from 1 species